CACCGCCCGUCACACCAUGGAAGCCAGUUGUACCGGAAGUUGGUGACUCAACCCGCAAGGGAGAUAGCCACCCAUGGUAUGGCUGGUGACUGGGGUG
rnacentral:rRNA from 1 species